UAUUCCUGGAUAUGAUUGGCUG
rnacentral:siRNA from 1 species